UGCUUGCCCCCUGCCACAGCUAGUGAUUGUUCUAAUCCUUUGGUUCCACCUGCUAGUUUAUUAAAGGGAAACAUCUGCCCUCAUGAUGGUUGUUAACCUGAGGGGCUGUAAGGGACAUGCGCCAGCUGGUUUCCCUGGUAACUGAUGAGCCAACCUGACAUCAAUUCCCCCUAUAAAUGGUAGCCUCCUUCUUCCCCAAGCAGUAAAGAUGGCUGCUGUGGCUUGUCUGCUGUACGUGUGGGGCAUUGCACCAGGACCCUUAUUUCAGACAGCUAUGGCAAUGGUCAGAGCAACGAUACAGUGUGAGCGAACAACAGCUAUAUGCAGUCUACAAUGCAUUACAACAGGUGGAAGACAUAAAAGGCCUACGUAAGUCAUCGAGCAAUGCAAAAAACCCACUAUUCAGGGUCUAGAAGAGCUGUGCACGACAUACAGGACUCCCAUCGACAUUGAUAGUGACCAAGGAACCCACUUUACCCACCACAAAGUGCAGGAAUGGGCCUCUAAAAAUGACAGAUGCUGGCAUUUCCACCUGCCCUACAACUCCACUGCUGCUGGGCUAACUGAAAGGAUGAAAGGACUACUUAAACAACAAUUGAGAUGCGAAAUCUAUAACCGAACAUUCCAGGAGCAAUCAUCCCAGUGCCUACGCCACGUUAACCCAGAGACAACUAGUCAACACCAUCCAAGUUCAACUGUUGACCACCAAAGGACCGCUGCCGAUUGAUUAUAGUAUUUGACAUCAACUGUGCGGACUGAGUGUGGACGGGUGGUGUGGUACUGCAGGCCGCGACAAAAGCCACAGAGCCUAUGUUCCAGAGACAGACAAGAGACAAAAUUCAAAACUGCUGGAAGGAGCAUGUUCUGGCACAAAAGUUCUGAAAUGGCAAGAACUUGAUAUGCAUGAAGCUUUUGUUGCUGGAAAAGACCACGAUGGAUACUGAAAUGAUUUGAAAGACGGAGGCACCUGCCAAGACAGUGUGACUCAGAAACAUAAAAAGAAACCUGAUGACCAAGGAGCCUUCAUAACAGCUUUGAAUGAAGACCUUCAGCCCUCUUUCAUAUAAAAGAGAGAAAAAAUUUAUAUUUUUAAGUCAUUUUACUGAUAGUUUCUUUUAUUUGCAGCUGAAUUCAAUCUCCACUGAUACCAACUGGCUUGAGGAGAGGGGUGAAAAAUCAAGAACUAUUUCUGAAACACUAAGUUGAGGUAUCUAUUAGACAUCCAAAUGGACAUGUCAAAUAAACAACUGAAUAUAGAAAUCUUGUCCUAAAAUGAGAGACCAGCACUGGAGAUAUACAUUUGGGAGCUACUGGUGAGUUAAAGCUAUGGGACUGAUAAAGAUUAUAUAGAUAGAAAAGGGCCUAGUCCUGAACCCUAGGACACCCAGAUUUAGGUAUCUGCACAAGAGAAGGAGCCAGAGAAUGAGGCUGAGAAAAGGAGUCCAGUGAGGUAGUAAAAUUCAAAGAUUGUGGUUUCAUAGAUGCAAAGGAAGGAAAAUAUACUAAGAUAUAGGGAGUUGUCAAUUGUACUGAAUGCAUUCAGUAGAGAAUUGAAUUCAAUGUAGAAGGAGUACAUGGGAGGGCUUUAGUUUCCUGCAAUGUGGAAAAAUACAUAUCCUGGAAAGCCUCCCAACAGAAAACUUAGAAAUACUGGACAAAGUACAAAAAACACCUUCUUAAAUAGGUAGCUAAGCUACAAGAAACUAAGGAGAAUCCUGAAGGGUAGACAAUGAAGAGGUGUUAAAGAGGAACAAGCUGAAACUAAAACUGUUUGGUUGCCCUUGGGUAAUUUGCCAAUCACCAUUUAAAUUUUUCUUAAAGACUGAAUAGAAACAAAAAUAUUAAGUAUUUGUAAUAUAUGAAAAUAAUCAUAACAAAAUGAACACUUACAAAUACCUUUCAAGUCGCCUCUGAGCCCCUUUUACUACCCUUUCCCCUCCUUGCUAAGAGUUAACCCCUUUCCCAAGUGUUAUUACUACCUUCACUUAAUAGCUUCAUUAAAGCUGUGGCCCCAAAAAAGUUACUAUUUAUAACGUGUUCAUAGCAAGUUUUAAUCUAUGUUUAAAUGAAUUCAGUCUUUAUGUUAUUCUACAACUUCAUUUUAUUGGCUUAAUUGUAUUUUUCUGAUGUUUAUCAAUGCUGUUACAUGAAGCCACAAUUUAGUAACUGAUGAUGAAAGUAACACUGCAGUGCUGUGGGAAAAAGAUGGUUUUGUCAAUAAAUGUGCAGGCUAAUUGGAAAAUACAAAUGAAACUUAGCCCCUACCUAACCCAUCUCACAAAAAAUAGAAUGGUGGGUUUGAGAGCUAAAUGUAAAAGUUAAAACAAUCAAGGAUCUAGAAGGUAACAUCGAAAAUCUUUAUGACAACAGAGUACAAAUAUAUUUCUUAAAUUAGAUGCAAAACUUACUAGCCCUAAAAAAGAAAGAGGACCGCAUUAAAACCAGAGAUUUUUGUUCAUCAAAAGAUUACUAAGAGUGUAAAAGAGUGGAGAAAGUAUAUGCAACAGGUAUAUCCAACAAUGAGUUUGUAAUGAAGAAUAUUCAAAUAAUUUUUACAAAUUGACAAGUUUGACAACCCAAUAGAAAAAUUAGCAAGAGAUCUGAUUAAGAAUUUCACGAGAGUUUAACUAAAUGACCAAAAAUUAUAAGAAAAGGUCUUGACGUGAUUAAACAGGAGGAAAAUGCAAGUAAAAACCACAUGAGGUACACAAUAGAAUGACUGCAAUUUAAAAAUGACAAUUCCAAAUGUUGGAAAAGAUGUGGAACAACAGAAUCUGUCAUGCUGGUGGGAUAAUAAAUUGAUACAGAAACUUUGGAAAAUUCAUUGGCAGUUUGUAUUAAAGGUAAGCA